rnacentral:rRNA from 1 species
GUGAACCUGCUGCUGGAUCAUUACCU